rnacentral:rRNA from 1 species
AGGACAAACGCUGGCGGCGUACCUAAGACAUGCAAGUCGAACGGGGCGUCACCGCUUCGGCGGGGAGGUCGAGUGGCGGACGGGUGAGUAACGCGUAGGAACCUGUCGUGAAGUGGGGGAUAACGCUGGGAAACCGGCGCUAAUACCGCAUAGCAUCAGUGAUGAUGAAAGCCGGGUGCUCACGCAAGUGGGUGGCGCUUUAUGAGGGGCCUGCGUCCGAUUAGCUAGUUGGUGGGGUAAAGGCCUACCAAGGCAUCGAUCGGUAGCUGGUCUGAGAGGAUGGUCAGCCACACUGGGACUGAGACACGGCCCAGACUCCUACGGGAGGCAGCAGUUAGGAAAUUUUUCCAAUGGGGGAAACCCUGAGAGAGUAACGCCGCGUGGAGGAUGACGGCCUUCGGGUUGUAAACUCCUUUUCUGGGGACGAGUAGAAGACGGUACCCAGGAAGAAGCCUCGGCUAACUACGUAGCCAGCAGCCGC